AAUUUUCCACAUCUCUUAUCUUCUUUUGUGCCCCAAAAGUCUUCUCACUUUUGUUAUUUUCUUGGCUGCAUCUGAAGUCCAGCAGCUCCUUUUCUUCUUUCUCUAUUCCUCUUUCUUUCUUCUUGUUUCUUUCUUCUCCACUUCUUACAUGGCAGCCUUCUCUCCCUCACCAAAGCAAAAUAUCCCUCUCUAAAGAAGAAAUUAAAGGGUUAACACUAAAAUUUCAGCCUCAAAUUGUUGGGGGUGUUACCAGUAUCCAAGUCUAAGCUCCUUCGAUUGUAGGCUCUCGGCUCCUCUGCUUUCAGUUAGUAGGUUUUAUUUUGGAGCAGAGGGAGCCUUAGUCGAGUUUUGGAAGGAGCUGGUUUUACAUAUUCUCCACAAUUUCUCCCCCUUUUUGUCAGGAUUGACAAAGGGUACAUGAAGCUAUAAAGUUUCAUCCGAGAAACAUAAAGAUGAUCAAGGGGACACAAGAAAUCCAUAUAAAUGCAUGAAUGUAAUGAAACAAGAUGCUAUGGAUAACAAGAUAAUAGAAAGAUGCAAAACACACACAUACACUAAACAAAUCUAACCAAUUUUAUAUUUCAAAAACAAGUUAAGACAGUUUAGUGAGCAUAUAUUAACACAUGUAAACCUUGUGAUGGCCAAUUCACAUUGUACCUACACAUGAAUCAAGAAUAGCAAAGAAUAUUGCGUGUUGUGUGUGAAAAACAUCGCAAGAUUGUAUAAGUGUAUACAUGUUAUAACGAUUUGAGAUAUGAGAAAAUCACUUUAACUCAUACACAA